GCCAGACUCCUACGGGAGGCAGCAGUGGGGGAUAUUGCACAAUGGGGGGAACCCUGAUGCAGCGACGCCGCGUGGGUGAAGGAGCGUUUCGGCGCGUAAAGCCCUAUCGGCAGGGAAGAAGGAGGACGGUACCUGACUAAGAAGCCCCGGCUAACUACGUGCCAGCAGCCGCGGUAAUACGUAGGGGGCAAGCGUUAUCCGGGUUUACUGGGUGUAAAGGGGGCGCAGACGGCAGCGCAAGCCAGGAGUGAAAGCCCGGGGCGCAACCCCGGGACUGCUCUUGGAACUGCGCGGCUGGAGUGCAGGAGGGGCAGGCGGAAUUCCUGGUGUAGCGGUGAAAUGCGUAGAUAUCAGGAGGAACACCGGUGGCGAAGGCGGCCUGCUGGACUGCGACUGACGUUGAGGCCCGAAAGCGUGGGGAGCAAACAGGAUUAGAUACCCCCGUAC
rnacentral:rRNA from 1 species